rnacentral:misc_RNA from 1 species
AAAUAUAAUGAAAAAUUAAUUUAGUGGUACUUAAUGUAAAUAACAAAAAUGGAGGGUAAAUGGGGUAAUUAGCACUUAAACAUAUAAUAUGAUUAAAAAUGCAUGAGUGGAGCACUAUGGGAAUUAAAUAUUCAUUAAGUGGGCAGAUUACUUCCACUAAGCUCAUCUUCAACCUUCAUUUCUCACCAUUGUCGAAAUGAAGAAGUUCCAAGGUUCUCCCAUGGCCACCCAAAUGCAUGGUUCAUUACACCCAUUUUCAAGCUAGAUUUUGGUUACUUGUCUUCAUUAAUUUUGAUCCUCACACCAUGGGCAGUAGAUAGGCAGCAAGAAAU